AUUGAACGCUGGCGGCGUGCUUAACACAUGCAAGUCGUGCGGUAACAGGCGUAGCAAUACGUGCUGACGAGCGGCGAACGGGUGCGUAAUACAUGGGAAUCUGCCUUUUAGUGGGGAAUAACCCGGCGAAAGCCGGGCUAAUGCCGCAUAAGAUCUUCGGAUGAAAGCGGGGGAUCGUAAGACCUCGCGCUGAUAGAUGAGCCCAUGCCGGAUUAGCAGUUGGUGAGGUAACGGCUCACCAAGGCGACGAUCCGUAGCUGGUCUGAGAGGACGGCCAGCCACACUGGGACUGAGACACGGCCCAGACUCCUACGGGAGGCAGCAGUGGGGAAUAUUGGACAAUGGGGAAACCCUGAUCCAGCGACGCCGCGUGUGUGAAAGG
rnacentral:rRNA from 1 species